GUCCUGGUCGAUUAGUGGUUAAAUCAUCUCGUUGUGGUUGCGCGGGCAUUAUUGUAUGCUGCUCCGAGAAGCCGAGGGCUCGACUCCCUCCCGGGACA